rnacentral:rRNA from 1 species
UAUUACACAGAACACCAAUUGCGAAGGCAGCUCACUAAACUGUAACUGACGCUGAGGCACGAAAGCGUGGGGAUCAAACAGGAUUAGAUACCCUGGUAGUCCACGCCGUAAACUAUGAUCACUGGAUGUUAGCGGUACACAGCUAGCGUCUGAGUAAAAGCAUUGAGUGAUCCACCUGGGGGAGUACGUCGGCAACGAUGAAACUCAAAGGAAUUGACGGGGGGCCCGCACAAGCGGAGGGAACAUGUGGGUUUAAUUCGAUGAUACGCGAGGAACCUUACCUGGGGCUCGAACGCGGGGGGGGGAUGUAGGUGAAAGCUUACAGCCAGCAAUGGCCGCCCGCGAGGUGCUGCAUGUUGUCGUCAGCUCGUGCCGUGAGGUGUCGGCUUAAGUGCCAUAACGAGCGCAACCCUUAUCAUUAGUUGCCAGCGGGGCAAUGCCGGGGACUCUAAUGAAACUGCCAGCGUAAAGCUGUGAGAAGGCGGGAUGACGUCAAAUCAGUACAGCCCUUACGUCCAGGGCUACACACGUGUUACAAUGGAUGGUACAGAGGGCAGCUACCCCGCGAGGGGAUGCUAAUCUCCAAAGCCAUUCUCAGUUCGGAUCGGAGUCUGCAACUCGACUCCGUGAAGCUGGAUUCGCUAGUAAUCGCGCAUCAGCCACGGCGCGGUGAAUACGUUCCCGGGCCUUGUACACACCGCCCGUCAAGCCAUGGGA